UCAGAAAAAGUUUUGGACUUGACAAGGAACUGGUUGGAUUGUCCAAAAAGUUCAAUCUGUGUAUUAAGUGGUUCAUAGUCUAUGAAAGCAUUUCCAUUCUACAGGACUCUACAGUUUUUUCUAAGACAAAUAGAGAUCGAAAAGCCAUGAGGAUACCUUUAACGGAGACGCAAUCUUUGGACCUGGAAGGAAUGUAGAAAAGAUCAGGAUAUGACUCAAUUGAGUCUUCCGAUAGACAAAAUUACAUUUUUCCACCGGAAUUGUAGCUCUCAAAGAAAUUAUCACUAAAGAAAUAUCUUAAAUAAGCAGAUUUGGAGGUAUUGAAAGCAAUAAGGGCAAGACCCUCUCCUCCAGGAUCCAGAUAAAUGUCAUCCCCAAUCUUUGACAAACAAUGCAUAGUCCUUCCUAUCACUAAAAUGUAAAUUGUAAAACAAAAACCGAUCUAUUAUUACGAUUUCUUUGAUAUUCAAAAUUAAUUAAUAAUACCCUUAACAUUAUUCCCUGACACUAUACAUUUCAUUUUGUAAUAUUUGCUCCAACAAAUCCGUAUACGAUGUUUCCAAGUAUUCUUGAAAUGAGUUGUUUUAGCGAAGCCCUAAUUUUACUUAUUUUCAUUUAUUAUUUAUUAUGAUUCAAUAGUGAGUGAAUGACGUAAUUAAAACAUCUGCAAUUUCAUUGGUCCAAUUUGUAGUUCAUGUUUUGAAAGUAAAAGCUAGCAAAAAGCGGGUAACGUUACCUAAAGAUUAAAAGCUUUAACAUUACACAAGGACUGCUAGAAGAAAGUAGUCCUUGCGUUACCACAUCAAUCGAAAUUUUUUAAAUAUACGUAUAUAAGUUUGGAACAGACCAAUUGACUAUAUAUUUUUAAGGACUUUCCAUAUUAGUAUCUUUCAACCUCAACAAUUAUUCAUAUCAAAAUUAUGAGGUUCUGUUGUUUUAAAACAACUUUAUAGGGAGAAGAGAAAAUGCCACAAAAAAUAAACUUUGGAAGCACUUUACUCAUAUACUUCGUGCUAUUUUCUCUUCUCCAAAUAAGGUUCAUUUUAAAUCACAGAACCUCUUAAUUAUUUUAGAAGAUCGAAGAUAAUUAAUCUUUAAAUCUCAACAAUUCUUAGUAUAAAAAUUGAACGGCUCUGUAGUUUAAAUGAACUUUGUUUGGAGAAGAGAAAAUGCCACAAAAAAUAAAUUUUGGAACUAUAUGUUGAUGUAUAUCAUGGACAUCUCUUGCUUGAGGUGUCCAUGAUGUAUUUCAAGAACCCUAUGUCUAUAUAUAAGGUUGUGGCAUUUCUGUCAACACUGCUAACCUGGUAGAUGACGUCACGAACGGGAUAAAAAUCAAAAUAAACUCAGUGAUACUUCAUACUUUACUUGACUGAGAAUUAAAUAAAUUACUUUCCAAUAUAAUUAUAAAACAUCCUUUGGAUCUAAAUAAUAAUGGACUUGAAUCUACAUGGAGAGAAGGUGGAACCUCCUGAGUCCAACCCCAUAAAAAAAUCGUCAUAAAAUGUGUGCAAUCUUCUGUUGCAAAAGUCCUGUCGGUGUCUUAUACCACAAUUUCCCAAAGAACAUGGUUUGACAGAGGAUUUGGAAGAAUUUUUGCAAGAGGAAGGAUACAUUUAAAGCAGAAAAUGCACAAGUGUGUAGUAUGCACUUUAAUGAUGGAAGCUACAAGAGGGACCUGGAACAUGAGCUUCUUAAUUUGACUCCCAGAAAGAGGCUAAACACAGAUGCGGUACCAAGUCUGCUACUUCCUACUCCCACUGUUCCUAAGCCUGAGGUUCAAUGUGAUAAAAAGUUCCCAAAAAGUUACAUGAAUCAACAUUCUCUCAAACUCCCCCCCAGCAGUGUCGAUAAUCAAGGUGAAGACCAAGUAGAUUUUGUUUCACCUCGUUCCAGGAGGGAAAUGAGGAGGCAGAACAAACAAAUGGUAACCAAAUAAAGGAACCGGAGCAAAAUAAUAAGGAUAUUGGGAUACAUACAGAACAUUCCCUUUUUCUGGAAAAUACUGAUAAUCUCAAAGCAGAAUUAAAGAAAACGAAAGCAGAUUUAUGGAAACAAAAAGUCAAGGUAAACAUUCUCACAAAGAAACUCGAGCGACUUGAAGCGAAGGAAAAUAAACACUCCAAAAUUGUAAGGACUCUUCAUGAUUCAUUGGAAGGGGAAAUAAGAGUGAAUUGCGAUGGUAUAGAGGUAUACAAGUUUCAAUCAAAUCAACUCGAGCUUUGUACCAUGAUUUGAUUUCUAAUGGUCCUCUUUCUUUCAUUUUGAUGUCCAGAACUAAUCAAGAUUGCCUUGAAAUUUUUUUUUACCCGUUUGAGAAGUGCUGGUGGUGAUAAUGCUCACCUUGGAGCCGUUGGAGCAAUGAAAAGGAUGAUAAUUCUGGAAAUUGGGAAAAAAAUGUGAAACUUUGGUAAACAAUCCGGCUGUUCAGAUUGAAAAAGAAUAUGACAUUUAUAGAAUUGAGGAUGAAGAGGAAAAAGAAUCUGUAACAAGGCAGAUCACUGGAGACAUCUUAGAUAUCACAAUUGGUGAAGAAAGCUGUUCAGAAUUUGAAUUUACGGUUGAUAUCCCUCAUGAAGUUCAUGUGGAUUUUGCAAUAAACCAUCCACUAGAUCAGUUCAAAAAAUGGGAUCUCAACAUUCAGGGGCUCAGUUAUGGAUCUAGUUUUAUUGCCCAUAAGAUGAAACUUUUAUAUCCGGAUUUGGGGAAGAAGACAAGUGACAUAUAUUUGAAUGAUCAUGGACUGACAACAUGGAUAUAUCAUUUGUCUAGAGGAGGACUGAUGGUGCAAUCUGAUUAUUUUUUAAAAGAUAUUGAAUUUUUCGACCAGAAGUUCAAGGAAUUCCAUUUACCUCUAUUAGAUCGUCAUCCAAAACUAAUCGAACGUUUUUGUCAAGUUUUGGAAGAUUCUUUUGGAGGCAAGUAUGACAAGGCUGUUCUGAAUCUCUUCGCCAAGACAAGUACAAUGAUACGAAUAAGAUACUUAUAUGCACAAUUAGAAUUUAAUACUGGAGGGAGUGAAAAAAUAAGAUAAAAAAAGCAAAUUGGCCAAUUUGAAGUUUAAUUAUAAUUUAAUCAAAUAUUCAAUAUAAUAUUAAUUAUUACCAAAUAUAUUAUUUUAUAUAUGUAUAGUAUAUAACUUAUCUACGGCAAAAACCAAUUCUUAUUAUUUCCUAUGUUCUGCAUUAUAAAUUUAUCCUUCAAUAAAAAGUGACAUCUGCUGUUCAUUAUGUAAUCGUUACAAUAA
rnacentral:lncRNA from 1 species